ensembl:miRNA
AAAAAGUUCGUUUGGGUUUUGCUGUCACACUGUAUGGAACAACCUGGAUGAACUUUUUGG